rnacentral:lncRNA from 1 species
GGGGCGCGAGCAUGCUUACGUGGUGGGGAGCGGCGCCAAAGGGGUUAGGUUUUUUUUUUUGCUUUUUGAGAAUAGUGUAGAUUAUGGGCUAUUGGGCUUCGGGUUAUUAGGUAUUAGGUUUAGCACAUGGGUUGGGUUAUUGGACUCUUUUUUGUUUGGGCAUUGAUCUAUUUUGUAAAUGGACUUUUAUUUAUUUAUUGUUGUUUUGUUUAUUGGGCCGGUUAAAAUUGACUUGUUACACUAAUAAAAGCAAUGUAUUAAUGAUACCAGUUUGUGUAUACUCACAAGUCUAU